rnacentral:rRNA from 1 species
UUCCGGUUGAUCCUGCCGGACCUGACUGCUAUCGGAUUGAUACUAAGCCAUGCGAGUCUUUGUAGUAAUACAAGGCAGACGGCUCAGUAACACGUAGUCAACCUACCCUAUGGACGAGAAUAAUCUCGGGAAACUGAGCAUAAUUCUUGAUAGAUCAUAAUGCCUGGAAUGGUUUAUGGUUAAAAUGAUUCGUCGCCAUAGGAUGGGACUGCGGCCUAUCAGCUUGUUGGUGAGGUAAUGGCCCACCAAGGCGAUUACAGGUACGGGCUCUGAGAGGAGAAGCCCGGAGAUGGGUACUGAGACACGGACCCAGGCCCUAUGGGGCGCAGCAGGCGAGAAAACUUUGCAAUGUGCGAAAGCACGACAAGGUUAAUCCGAGUGAUUUCUGCUAAAGAAAUCUUUUGCCAGUCGUAAAAACGCUGGUGAAUAAGGGGUGGGCAAGUUCUGGUGUCAGCCGCCGCGGUAAAACCAGCACCUCAAGUGGUCAGGAUGAUUAUUGGGCCUAAAGCAUCCGUAGCCGGCUUUGUAAGUUUUCGGUUAAAUCCAUGUGCUCAACGCAUGGGCUGCCGAAAAUACUGCAUAGCUAGGGAGUGGAAGAGGUAGACGGUACUCAGUAGGUAGGGGUAAAAUCCUUUGAUCUAUUGAUGACCACCUGUGGCGAAGGCGGUCUACCAGAACACGUUCGACGGUGAGGGAUGAAAGCUGGGGGAGCAAACCGGAUUAGAUACCCGGGUAGUCCCAGCUGUAAACGAUGCAGACUCGAUGAUGCAUUGGCAUAAUAGCCAUUGCAGUGUCGCAGGGAAGCCGUUAAGUCUGCCGCCUGGGAAGUACGUACGCAAGUAUGAAACUUAAAGGAAUUGGCGGGGGAGCACCACAAGGGGUGAAGCCUGCGGUUCAAUUGGAUUCAACGCCGGG